rnacentral:rRNA from 1 species
CGCUAGCUACAGGCUUAACACAUGCAAGUCGAGGGGCAGCAUGAACUUAGCUUGCUAAGUUUGAUGGCGACCGGCGCACGGGUGAGUAACACGUAUCCAACCUGCCGAUGACUCGGGGAUAGCCUUUCGAAAGAAAGAUUAAUACCCGAUGGCAUAGUUCUUCCGCAUGGUAGAACUAUUAAAGAAUUUCGGUCAUCGAUGGGGAUGCGUUCCAUUAGGUUGUUGGCGGGGUAACGGCCCACCAAGCCUUCGAUGGAUAGGGGUUCUGAGAGGAAGGUCCCCCACAUUGGAACUGAGACACGGUCCAAACUCCUACGGGAGGCAGCAGUGAGGAAUAUUGGUCAAUGGACGAGAGUCUGAACCAGCCAAGUAGCGUGAAGGAUGACUGCCCUAUGGGUUGUAAACUUCUUUUAUACGGGAAUAAAGUGAGGCACGUGUGCCUUUUUGUAUGUACCGUAUGAAUAAGGAUCGGCUAACUCCGUGCCAGCAGCCGCGGUAAUACGGAGGAUCCGAGCGUUAUCCGGAUUUAUUGGGUUUAAAGGGAGCGUAGGCGGACGCUUAAGUCAGUUGUGAAAGUUUGCGGCUCAACCGUAAAAUUGCAGUUGAUACUGGGUGUCUUGAGUACAGUAGAGGCAGGCGGAAUUCGUGGUGUAGCGGUGAAAUGCUUAGAUAUCACGAAGAACUCCGAUUGC